rnacentral:rRNA from 1 species
ACGAACGCUGGCGGCGUGCCUAAUACAUGCAAGUCGAACGCUUCUUUUUCCACCGGAGCUUGCUCCACCGGAAAAAGAGGAGUGGCGAACGGGUGAGUAACACGUGGGUAACCUGCCCAUCAGAAGGGGAUAACACUUGGAAACAGGUGCUAAUACCGUAUAACAAUCGAAACCGCAUGGUUUUGAUUUGAAAGGCGCUUUCGGGUGUCGCUGAUGGAUGGACCCGCGGUGCAUUAGCUAGUUGGUGAGGUAACGGCUCACCAAGGCGACGAUGCAUAGCCGACCUGAGAGGGUGAUCGGCCACAUUGGGACUGAGACACGGCCCAAACUCCUACGGGAGGCAGCAGUAGGGAAUCUUCGGCAAUGGACGAAAGUCUGACCGAGCAACGCCGCGUGAGUGAAGAAGGUUUUCGGAUCGUAAAACUCUGUUGUUAGAGAAGAACAAGGAUGAGAGUAACUGUUCAUCCCUUGACGGUAUCUAACCAGAAAGCCACGGCUAACUACGUGCCAGCAGCCGCGGUAAUACGUAGGUGGCAAGCGUUGUCCGGAUUUAUUGGGCGUAAAGCGAGCGCAGGCGGUUUCUUAAGUCUGAUGUGAAAGCCCCCGGCUCAACCGGGGAGGGUCAUUGGAAACUGGGAGACUUGAGUGCAGAAGAGGAGAGUGGAAUUCCAUGUGUAGCGGUGGAAUGCGUAGAUAUCGGGAGGAACACCAGUGGCGAAGGCGGCUCUCUGGUCUGUAACUGACGCUGAGGCUCGAAAGCGUGGGGAGCAAACAGGAUUAGAUACCCUGGUAGUCCACGCCGUAAACGAUGAGUGCUAAGUGUUGGAGGGUUUCCGCCCUUCAGUGCUGCAGCUAACGCAUUAAGCACUCCGCCUGGGGAGUAGGAUCGCAAGGGGGAAGCUCAAAGGAAGUGGCGGGGGCCCGCACAAGCGGUGGAGCAUGUGGUUUAAUUCGAAGCAACGCGAAGAACCUUACCAGGUCUUGACAUCCUUUGACCACUCUAGAGAUAGAGCUUCCCCUUCGGGGGCAAAGUGACAGGUGGUGCAUGGUUGUCGUCAGCUCGUGUCGUGAGAUGUUGGGUUAAGUCCCGCAACGAGCGCAACCCUUAUUGUUAGUUGCCAUCAUUUAGUUGGGCACUCUAGCAAGACUGCCGGUGACAAACCGGAGGAAGGUGGGGAUGACGUCAAAUCAUCAUGCCCCUUAUGACCUGGGCUACACACGUGCUACAAUGGGAAGUACAACGAGUCGCAAAGUCGCGAGGCUAAGCUAAUCUCUUAAAGCUUCUCUCAGUUCGGAUUGUAGGCUGCAACUCGCCUACAUGAAGCCGGAAUCGCUAGUAAUCGCGGAUCAGCACGCCGCGGUGAAUACGUUCCCGGGCCUUGUACACACCGCCCGUCACACCACGAGAGUUUGUAACACCCGAAGUCGGUGAGGUAACCUUUUGGAGCCAGCCGCCUAAGGUGGGAUAGAUGAUUGGGGUG